GAUGAACGCUGGCGGCGUGCCUAAUACAUGCAAGUCGAGCGAACGGACGAUAAGCUUGCUUUUCUGAUGUUAGCGGCGGACGGGUGAGUAACACGUGUAUAACCUACCUAUAAUACUGGUAUAACUUCGGGAAACCGGAGCUAAUACCGGAUAAUAUUUUGAACCGCAUGGUUCAAAAGUGAAAGACGGUCUUGCUGUCACUUAUAGAUGGAUCCGCGCUGCAUUAGCUAGUUGGUAAGGUAACGGCUUACGAAGGCAACGAUGCAUAGCCGACGUGAGAGGGUGAUCGGCCACCCUGGAACUGAGCCACGGACCAGACUCCUGCGGGGGGCAGCAGUCGGGAAUCGUCGGCAAUAGUCGAAAGCAUGACGGAGCAAGGCCGAGUGAGAGAUGAAAGUCUUCGGAUCGUAAAACUGUGUUAUUAGGGAAGAACAUAUGUGUAAGUAAAUGUGCACAUCUUGACGGUAACUAAUAAGAAAGCCACGGCUAACUACGUG
rnacentral:rRNA from 1 species